rnacentral:rRNA from 1 species
UGGUCAAGUUAUUAAGGGUGCAGGGCGGAUGCCUUGGCACUAGGAGCCGAUGAAGGACGUGAUAAGCUGCGAUAAGCUUCGGGGAGUUGCACGUAAACUUUGAUCCGAAGAUUUCCGAAUGAGGAAACUCACUUAGAGUAAUGUCUAAGUAUCAUUAAGUGAAUACAUAGCUUAAUGAGGGGAACUCAGGGAACUGAAACAUCUAAGUACCUGAAGGAAGAGAAAGAAAUUCGAUUCCGUAAGUAGCGGCGAGCGAACGCGGAUUAGCCCAAACCAAUAAAGUUUUCUUUAUUGGGGUUGCGGACAUAUCAUAACGAAGAGGUAUCGUAAUUGAAGAGGUUUGGAAAGACCCACCACAGAAGGUAAUAGUCCUGUAUGUUAAACGAGAAGACUUUAGAUAUGAUCCAGAGUACCACGGGACACGUGAAACCCUGUGGGAAGCAGGAGGGACCACCCUCCAAGGCUAAAUACUACCUAGUGACCGAUAGCGUAUAGUACCGUGAGGGAAAGGUGAAAAGAACCCCGGGAGGGGAGUGAAAUAGAACCUGAAACCCUGCACUUACAAGCUGUGGAAGCACAUUUCUUGUGUGACCGCGUACUUUUUGUAGAACGGGCCAACGAGUUACGUUAAGUAGCAAGGUUAAGCACUUAAGGUGUGGAGCCGUAGCGAAAGCGAGUUUUAACUGAGCGUUCAGUUACUUGACGUAGACCCGAAACCGGGCGACCUACCCAUGAGCAGGAUGAAGCGAAAGUAAAAUUUCGUGGCGGUCCGAACCCACGAGCGUUGAAAAGCUCGGGGAUGACUUGUGGGUAGCGGUGAAAUUCCAAUCGAGCCCGGAGAUAGCUGGUUCUCCCCGAAAUAGCUUUAGGGCUAGCCUCAAGGUGAGAGAUACGGAGGUAGAGCACUGAAUGUCCUAGGGGGUAUUGCACCUACCGAAGACUAUCAAACUCCGAAUGCCGUCAUCUUAUACUUGGGAGUCAGACUGUGGGUGAUAAGAUUCAUAGUCGAAAGGGCAACAGCCCAGAUCGUCAGCUAAGGUCCCUAAAUGUAAGUUAAGUGGUAAAGGAUGUGGGAUUGCACAGACAACCAGGAUGUUGGCUUAGAAGCAGCCACUCAUUCAAAGAGUGCGUAAUAGCUCACUGGGCGAGUGAUCCUGCGCCGAAGAGUUCCGGGGCUAAAACUUACUACCGAAGCUACGGCAUCAGUAAUGAUGGGUAGGGGAGCUUCCCAUACGGGUUGAAGCAUGACCGUAAGGACAUGUGGACAGUAUGGGAGUGAGAAGGUUGGCAUGAGUAGCGAGAUGUGGGUGAGAAUCCCACAGGCCGUAAACCCAAGG